AUCAGGAUCAGUAGCCGAGAAACAAAAACCUGACACUGAUCAACAGAAGAGCAGCCAACCUGACAAGCCUGAUGGUCUGACAGUUUACUCCAUUAAAGAAGUCACGUUAUUUCCUGACCAGACAAAUACGUGGGUGUCAAAGGAACAGUUACAAAG